CAAGGCCCAGUCUGGGCGGAGCAGCCCCACAAGGCCAGCAGCAGAGCCCACCUCUUGCCUUGGAAGGAGCCGGGAUGCAUAAGGCAGAGGCCCGGCCACGUCAGCAGCACGACCCCCUCGGCCUCCCUGCCAAGGAAAGCGGAGGAAGGGAAGGGCCAGCCAUGGAAAGCCCCCCGGGGCAGAAGCUGGAACCAUCCCUUUACACGGUCAAGGCAAUUUUUAUCUUGGACAGCCUUGGGCAGCGACUUUUGGCUAAGUAUUAUGAUGACACGUUUCCAUCCACGAAAGAACAGAAGAGAUUUGAGAGAAACGUCUUCAAGAAAACCCACAAGACUGAUAGUGAGAUUGCUUUCUUGGAAGGCCUGACCAUUGUCUAUAAAAACAGCAUUGAUCUUUUCUUUUAUGUGGUAGGGAGUCCACAUGAAAAUGAGCUGAUGCUAACAUCAGUUCUCAGCUGUCUUUUUGAAUCUCUGAGUCACAUGCUGCGAAAGAAUGUGGAGAAGCGAGCACUGCUGGAGAAUAUGGACGGGGUAUUUCUUGUGGUGGAUGAGAUCGUUGAUGGCGGUGUGAUUUUAGAAAGUGAUCCCCAGCAAGUCAUCCAGAAAUUAAAUUUCAGAACAGUCCCAGAGCCUGCACCUUAUGGCUUUGUCCUCCUUGACUACAUCGUGGGUAAUGCAGAGCACAGUGAAAUUUUACCUGAGAGGCUCUACAAAUAACUAAUGGUUCUCACAAACAGGAAGCAGGAGUGGAUGAUGGCUCUUUAUCAGAGCACAGCGUCACUCAGGUCCUUCAGUCUGCCAAAGAGCAAAUUAAGUGGUCCUUAUUAAAAUAAAAUACCCCCAAACAAAAUACACAGCACUGGCAAAUUUUGAAUUACACUUUCUAACCUUGUUCUAGUUUAGCCUUUCCUGAUAGCCUCAAAGGAUGAGAGUUUUUCAAUGAAUCCAGAAGCUGACUAUUAUGAUAUGAGAAGACACCAAGCUGCUGAAGCUCAUCUGAAUAACUUUUCCAAAGUGGAUGGCAAAAUCUGUUGUUGCUUACUACAGAUGGUGGCUAACCAUGGCUAUCUUUAAUCAUUCACAAGAUGAGUUUCUAGACAGACGUGCCCUCCCACUGCCAAUCAAAAGGCACCGUGGCAGCUAUUUCAUCUUCCCUUUUUUAACAGAGUUUUGUUUUCUGGUAAGAAGGAAGACAGAAGGAGUGAUGCGGAAACACAAGACAGUUAAACUCCAUGUCUGCAGCUACCCAAAUUCUUUACAAUGAUAUUCUCAAAUGUAUCAGUGGCACCCCUUCUCCAGCUUCCCAAAUAUGGCUGAAAAUAAAAUAUGUAUUUGGACAAA